rfam:Flavobacterium flevense strain DSM 1076 genome assembly, contig: Ga0131122_101
CUCACACUUUAGGGGUGUCUGCAAUCGCAGGCUGAGAUUUUACCCUCUGAACCUGAUCUGGUUAAUACCAGCGUAGGGAAAAGUAAGAUGACUUCC